UACGAAGGGGGCUAGCGUUGUUCGGAAUUACUGGGCGUAAAGCGCACGUAGGCGGAUUGUUAAGUCAGAGGUGAAAUCCCGGAGCUCAACUUCGGAACUGCCUUUGAUACUGGCAAUCUCGAGUCCGGAAGAGGUUAGUGGAAUUCCCAGUGUAGAGGUGAAAUUCGUAGAUAUUGGGAAGAACACCAGUGGCGAAGGCGGCUAACUGGUCCGGUACUGACGCUGAGGUGCGAAAGCGUGGGGAGCAAACAGGGAUUAA
rnacentral:rRNA from 1 species